GAUGAACGCUGGCGGCGUGCUUAACACAUGCAAGUCGAACGGAAAGGCCCUGAUUUUGUGGGGUGCUCGAGUGGCGAACGGGUGAGUAAAACGUGAGUAACAUGCCCUUGUAUUUGGGAUAACUUCAGGAAACUGGGGCUAAUAUAGGAUAGGAGCUCUUGCUGCAUGGUGGGGGUUGGAAAGUUUCGGCGGUUGGGGAUGGAAUUGCGGCUUCUCAGCUUGUUGGUGGGGUAGUGGCUUACCCAGGCUUUGACGGGUACCCGGCCUGAGCGGGUGACCGGCCGCAUUGGGACUGAGAGACGGCCCAGACUCCUACGGGAGGCAGCAGGGGGGAAUAUUGCACAAUGGGCGGAAGCCUGAUGCAGCAACGCCGCGGGCUGGAUGACGGCUGUCGGGUUGUAAACCGCUUUCGCCUGGGACGAAGCGUGAGUGAGGGUGAUGGGUAGAGAAGCACCGGCUAACUACGUG
rnacentral:rRNA from 1 species